GGGGGUGCACUGGUUUCGACGGGAGUCGCGAAGUCGCUUGGCGCAUGCCGAGGGGGCAGCUUUCCUCGUAAAUCCAGCGGCAAAAAUCUAGUUGCCAACGACGACAACUACGCUCUGGCCGCUUAAGGCCUAAGCCCCGAAACUGCUUGUGUCCGUGCUCGCAGCGUAGGGUCACUAUCACGGAACCGCCGGUGGUGGCUGCCCGUCAGCUACCGGUUAAACAAAGCGGGCUGGUUCUCGGGUGCGCUUUGCCGAUCGUGCUGCCCGGGGACGAGACUUAACGAGCGGAUAAGCAUGUAGGGCCGAGGAUGGAGUGCUUUCGGACGGCGGUUCGAUUCCGCCCACCUCCACCA
rnacentral:tmRNA from 1 species